CCUACGGGUGGCAGCAGUGGGGAAUAUUGCACAAUGGGGGGAACCCUGAUGCAGCGACGCCGCGUGAGUGAAGAAGUAUCUCGGUAUGUAAAGCCCUAUCAGCAGGGAAGCAGAUGACGGUACCUGACUAAGAAGCCCCGGCUAACUACGUGCCAGCAGCCGCGGUAAUACGUAGGGGGCAAGCGUUAUCCGGAUUUACUGGGCGUAAAGGGAGCGUAGACGGCAGGGCAAGUAUGGAGUGAAAGCCCGGGGCCCAACCCCGGGACGGCUUUGGAAACUGCCAUGCUAGAGUGCUGGAGAGGUAAGCGGAAUGCCUGGUGUAGCGGUGAAAUGCGUAGAUAUUAGGAGGAACACCAGUGGCGAAGGCGGCUUACUGGACAGUAACUGACGUUGAGGCACGAAAGCGUGGGGAGCGAACAGGAUUAGAUACCCCAGUAGUC
rnacentral:rRNA from 1 species